GGUUCUGUGUUUCUGUCUCUGUUUUUCCUUGUUGGGCCGCCAGAUGGCGGCACUUCAGUUUUGUGUUUCAGUUCGUUCUCCCUCCCUGUGUUAAUUGUAUUAUUGGUUUUAAUUAUUCUAUCAUUGUUCCCACCUGUCUCGUUACUUAAUCAUCGUCCCCACCUGCCUCUCGUUAUCCCUUCCCUCUCGUUUGAUUAUGUAUUGAGUGCACCUGUGUCUUGUCUAUUUUAGUUCUUUGUCCCCUUGACUCAGGUGCUGGUUCCUUGUGUUUGUUUUGGAUUUGUGUGUAUCUGCUUGCCUGUGUUUGUGUGUUUCUGCCUGUUUGUGUUUCUGCCUGUUAGUUCCUGUCUGGUUUCUGUCCUGCCCGUGUUCUGCUCUGUGUGAGUUUUGAAUUUUGAGUUUUCUAUUUUGUGUUUUUUGGAAGUGCCCUGCGUGGCCUUUUGGUUUCCUGGUUUUUGUCCCCUGUAGUGUAAGUAAAGUCUUGGUUAAUUUUCAUUUUGAGUUUUUUUUUUUUCUCUGCAUGUGGGUCCUUCCUACCUGUUACGUGACACUGCUGAGGCAACCGAGGACUAGAGUUGUGGCUAUGAAAGUCAAGGAAGCUGUUAUGAGCCUGAGAAAUAAGAAAAAAACUUUUGGAGACAUAGGCCACCCUUAGGCUCACCAAAAUCAACUGUUUGGAACACCAUUAAGAAGAAAAAGAACACUGGUGAGCUCGAUAAUUGCAAAUGGCUUGGUGGGCCAAAAAAGACCACCUCAGUUGAUGACUGAAGAAUUCUCACCAUAAUGAAGAAAAACCCACAAACAGCUGUUCUACAAAUCAGAAGCACUCUCCAUAAUACAGGUUAGGAUGUGUCAGAACCUCCUGUCUGCAGAAGACUUCACAAACAAUGACCGAAGCUAUACUGCAAGAUGCAAAGUCCGCAUUAGCAUAACACAAAUCUGUCUACAAUCAACACACCAUCUCAAUACAUAAAACCAAUACUGAUCAUCUUAACGAUCACCAAAAAAACUAUUCUCCUAAAUUGAAAAUCAAGGAAUUCAUUAAGUAUCACACAAUGGCAAAACCUUCUCACUGAACACAUAUCAAUGGAACAAAAAACUGUCUCACUUAAAAAAUCUAAGUGACUUUACCACUAUGACAUGUAAACAUUGUAAUUGUAUAAAUAAAGCUGUCCUGCGUCGAGUGGGGAAGUUGGUGGACCAAUUGAAAAAUAAUAAAUAAAUGAAUAAUUAACACUGAAAAAUCUGUUAUAGCAGUGAAGACUGUUGGAAAACAUGGGAGCCACAUUUUACCCUUCUGAGGUGUCUCACAUUGUAGUGGGCCAGUUACAGAUAGCAUUGAUUGUUUACCACCACACUCAGUUAAAUUGACCUUUUAAUCACACCCUUUGUGCUACAUCCUCUACCCCCUUGCCCAGUCAAAUUGUCUCACUUUGAUAUGCAGUACCAUUGUGUGACAUCCUCUACCCCCUACUCCAGUCCAACUCCCCCACACCUUGUUUCUUCCCCCCCAAUGUCUGAUUACCUCCCCCCCCCCCCCUUUCCCCGUGAUGUGUUUAAGAUAACCAUUUGGCCCUUUGUUUCCUUGAAGGAACAUCACUGUCUCCGUCAUUUGUUGGUUCUGUGUUUAUCUGUACUUGGGUAACAGACCCACUAGUUCCUUUGCUACAUUAAACGACCUAUUUUGAAACGAAGACGUUCCUGCAUUUAUUUUUCUACUUACGAAAGUACGGCGGAAUAAAUCGAACUCUUAAAAAUUCCACAUUAUUGGCGAGCCAGCCCAAAUCCGUCGUUCUUGUUGCGUUUUUCAAAAAAAAAAAAAAAACUGGGGAGGCUGACAUUCGCGUGUGACACUGGCCUACAGAAGAGACCUUCUUUUUUACGUUGACACCGAAUUCAAGAAAGAAUUACAGUAAGAGGACUGUUUUGGAAGCCAUUUGCCAACGCUGAAGGAAAAACGGACUUGAAGGCACGGAACGGACCACGUACAUUUAAUUAAUCGUGAUGAGGACGAGGCUCCUGGUAUUCAGGAACAGGUUGGAAGUCAGCACUAAGUGGGACAUUCCUAUCAUAUUCAUAAACAACACACAAUGUGUCAAGGACAAUACACGCAGUUGAUGUUGGAUUCACCGAAUGGACAUCAGACAGGUGGAAAGAUGGUGAAGCGUUCACAACAGAGGACACAUGGAAAGUAUCAAGUGAAUCUUCAUUUAGAACACACUAUUGAGGGUGGAAGACAGUUUCCAAGAAUACAAGAAUUCAUUGUGACAGUAAAAGCACGUAAUUGGACACAUUAUGAUAACGCAAUAACUAGUUGGGAUGAGGGACAGGAUAACCGGGGGAGAUGGGCCGUGGAGCAUGAAUCUACAUAUUACCCUGGUCUAACAAUGAUGCAUCUAAAUUUAUAUGGUUAAAAAUAAAUAAAUAAUAAUAAUAAUACAUAUAUGUAUGUUGAGAAUAGACAAUGCCAACCUCUAAAGGAAUGGGAAGACUCAAGCAGUUGGACUGAAGCAAAUGUCCUCCACUGCACCCUAUUCCUAGAGAAGGCAUCAUUUUUGGGCCAGAAGGAAAAAGAAAAAAAAAGGGUUUAUAAUAUGAUGUAAAUAUGGUAUUCAUGCAUGCUGUUUAUGAUUGAGCUAAUGUCAUUGUCGUGUUUGAUCAGUAUAAGGGAAUGGCUGAAUCAACAGAUUAUUACAUUCAUACAUGUUAUGCAUGAAAGUCAUGCAAUAAUUAUAUCUAUUAACUAUAAUGAACUGUCCACAGAGAGGAAUGUUCAUCCUUUAGAGGAAGUGGAGAGCGUGGUGGACCAGUGUCACUGGUGUAUUCUGAGUCACCCCACAGGAUUUCCAUAUGGUAAUAUAAGGUGUUAAUCACCCCCUGGUUUCUGGUUUACACCAGCAUACACUGUUCAGAUGGAGAACAUUCGUUUACCUACUACUGAUGCCAGUGAGUCCAACAGCUUGGCCAUGUGGGAGGAUGCCUACCUGGUUCCUCAGUCAAAUGUGUCAGGUCUUCAUGCUCAGGUGAAGAAAGCUCUAAUGGAGAGUGAUUCAACACUACUCAGAACAAAAAUGGAGGUGAGCUUGGCCCAGGCAGAGGCCACAGUCCUGAAGCGACAAGGAUGCUCUGAUGAAAACACAUUUUUGGAACUGGAUAUUCCUGGCAAUUGUAGGUCUAAUAGUAAUUCAUAUCCCCAAUGAUCAAACACAGUGUUAUUGCUGGCAUAAACAGAAAAA